CCAGCACGCGCGCGCUAUUGGUCCCCGUCCUCGGCCCCGCCCCAUGGCGCGCCCGGAGAAGCCCGACCCUCUCUGCUCUUCCCCAGCCUGCGCUGCUCCAGCUCCACGUGCGCCCGGGGAUGCAAUGCAGCCCUGCAGACAAGCGUCUCCGGCAGGACGUGGGCCGCGGGUCUCGGAGCCUCCUUCACUUAGGUACAAACAAUCGUCGCCGCAGGGGCCGGACCCCAGUCCGAGCUCCGAGUGUUCUCACUUCCAGCAGAAAUCCUAGAGCCUAUGAACUCUACUGAGAGCUGAGACUCCUUCUUCACUCUUUACAGAUCCCAUGAACAGCAGUACCACCUGCCAACGCGUCCUCAUAUGUAAAAUGGGCAUAAACUCGAACCUCCCUCCUAAGGCUGAAUCCUCCGGAAUCCGCCCCACUGCACGCCAGCAGUCGGAGGCCUGGGGCGUGCUGCCCACGUGACUGACGGCCGGGAAGGAAAGAUGGCGGCGACUAUGAUGGCUUCAGAGAGAGGGCAACCAACGAGAGGACGCCGCCCGCCAGAGCGUCCACACCGCCGCUUUUUCUGCGGUUGCGUCCUGGGAAGGCGCGAAUUGUGUGGCUACGGGCGGGUCGUCCUCUCCACCAUUUUUUAAUGGAAAAAAUAAUAAUUCUCAAAGACGGUUUGGUCUGACCUGCCUCCCCACCUCUUGGCAUCCGCAGGAUCGCAGGCGUGUAAAAGACGGGAUUGUGGGACUGGGCCCAGUGACUCAUGCCUGUAAUCCCAGCGCUUUGCGGGGCCAAGGCCAGAGUAUCUCUUGAGCCCAGGUGUUCGAGACCAGCCUGGGCAACAUAGCGAGCCCCCAUCUCUAUUUUUAAAAAUGGUGUAUAGAUAUAGAGGAGAUCGUGGGAUUCAGUAUCUGAGAUUUUCUACCUUGGUGUCAACGCCCCUGUCAACCUAUUAGGUGACCUCAGAGUGUUCCCCCAGCCCUCAAUUCUAGGGAUCCCAGAUCCUGGAACACACACAUGCCCCGUCUGCCCCUUCGGGACAAGGAGAUCUAAUGGCACUCUCAGAAUUAGGCCUUAAAUGCUAAUUUCCUGGAGAUCCGCCCACCUCA
rnacentral:lncRNA from 1 species